UGGACCUCAGAUCAGGCAAGAUCACCCGCUGAGUUUAAGCAUAUCACUAAGCGGAGGAAAAGAAACUAACGAGGAUUCCUUAGUAACGGC
rnacentral:rRNA from 1 species